rnacentral:lncRNA from 1 species
UCGCUUAGACGGGCGCGACCUCCGCUUCGAGAUCCUCCCCGCCGGGGUGGGCGCCAGCGGGUUCCGCCCGCGGACGGCGGCGACGUCUCCGAGAGGGGAAGUGACUUGGUAACGAGGGAGAAGGACGGGGGUGCGGGAGGUGGAGGUGGUGGCGGCGACGGAGGAGAGGGUGUCGUGGGAAGCUGAGGAGGAGGUGUCGGAGAGGGAGAUCUGGAGGGCUCGCGUGAGGGCCUCGUUGUCGCGGGCGAAGGCCUCGUUCAUCCACGCCGACUCCGUGCGGUGCAUCCACGGAUCGAGCACCGAGCAAUUCUCCGCCAUGCUCAUCGUCCGCUCGAUCUCUCUCUCGUCGGGCUCUCGACGGGCUUCUCAAAGAACUCGGAUAGUUUGGUAUGGGGGGUUUAAUAGGCGCGUCCGUCGGCCACGUGUCCUUCAAUCGUCCGCGUCGGGUGACGGCGUUUCGUGUCGGAGCGGUAGGGUUCAUAGUUUAUCUCCACCUUUAAACCUAUUUAGGAGGAGAAUCGUGACGUUGACCGUCAGGCCUC